AUGAACGCUGGCGGCGUGCCUAAUACAUGCAAGUCGAGCGAACAGACGAGGAGCUUGCUCUCUGACGUUAGCGGCGGACGGGUGAGUAACACGUGGAUAACCUACCUAUAAGACUGGGAUAACUUCGGGAAACCGGAGCUAAUACCGGAUAAUAUAUUGAACCGCAUGGUUCAAUAGUGAAAGACGGUUUUGCUGUCACUUAUAGAUGGAUCCGCGCCGCAUUAGCUAGUUGGUAAGGUAACGGCUUACCAAGGCAACGAUGCGUAGCCGACCUGAGAGGGUGAUCGGCCACACUGGAACUGAGACACGGUCCAGACUCCUACGGGAGGCAGCAGUAGGGAAUCUUCCGCAAUGGGCGAAAGCCUGACGGAGCAACGCCGCGUGAGUGAUGAAGGUCUUCGGAUCGUAAAACUCUGUUAUUAGGGAAGAACAAAUGUGUAAGUAACUAUGCACGUCUUGACGGUACCUAAUCAGAAAGCCACGGCUAACUACGUG
rnacentral:rRNA from 1 species